rnacentral:lncRNA from 1 species
CGAUUUUGUGCAUCUGUGAGGCUCUGUUGCUCUUGAUUCAUCUCUCGAACUGAUUGACUGUUUUCCAUGUACUGAACUGCUUGGAUGAUUCUGUGAGUAUCUGCUUUCAUUGACUCUAUGUGGAACUCUGCCUAUGCCUUUCACUGUCCAGAUUUUGUGAGAACUAUGCAAAUCUGUGUUUAUCCUUGUGAGUCGUUGUCGUUUGUCUGUUGUGUCCGUG